rnacentral:rRNA from 1 species
UACGGGAGGCAGCAGUGGGGAAUAUUGGACAAUGGAGGGAACUCUGAUCCAGCAAUUCUGUGUGUGUGAAGAAGGUUUUAGGACUGUAAAACACUUUUAGUAGGGAAGAAAAAAAUGACGGUACCUACAGAAGAAGCAACGGCUAAAUACGUGCCAGCAGCCGCGGUAAU